rnacentral:rRNA from 1 species
GAUGAACGCUGGCGGCGUGCCUAAUACAUGCAAGUCGAGCGAACAGAUGAGGAGCUUGCUCCUCUGACGUUAGCGGCGGACGGGUGAGUAACACGUGGAUAACCUACCUAUAAGACUGGGAUAACUUCGGGAAACCGGAGCCAAUACCGGAUAAUAUAUUGAACCGCAUGGCUCAAUAGUGAAAGACGGUUUUGCUGUCACUUAUAGAUGGAUCCCCGCCGCAUUAGCUAGUUGGUAAGGUAACGGCUUACCAAGGCAACGAGGCGUAGCCGACCUGAGAGGGUGGGUGGCGCGUCUGGAACUGAGCCUUCGUCCCGGCGCCUACGGGAGGCAGCUGUAUGCAGGAGUGAAGCAUGGGCCAAAGACGGUCGGAGUAACCAGGCGAGAGUGAUAGUGGUGUUCCAAACGGUGAGCAGUGGUAAGAUUGAUGAACAAGUGUGUAAGUAAAUAUGCACCUCUGGGCGGUAGGUGAUCAGGACGCGACGGCUCAGUUCGUG